GGGGUUUCCCCGUGUUAGCCAGGUUGGCCUCGAUCCCCUCGUGAUCCGCCCGUCUCGGCCUCCCAAAGUGCUGGGAUUACAGGCAUGAGCCACCGCGCCCGGCCGAAGUGUCAACUUUCAAACUCACUUGGACUCUUCUAAGAAUCCAGUUUUUUGCACUUGUGUUAGGGGGCUGUCGUUAACUCCCAGUGGCCGCUGAGGUCCUUGCCUGUGGAUUCCUGCUUCUCAAAGCCAGCAAGGGCGUGUCAAAUCUGCUCAUGCUUGGAAUCUCUCUGACUUUUCCUUGGGUCACAUAUCUCUUGCUUCACCCUCUGCCACACUUUUUUUUUUCCUGAAAGCCAAAAAGAUUCUUUGCUUUAAGGGGUGAUGUAUUUAGAUUGAGAGCCCACCUGGAUAGUGGGUCCUCUCCCCUCCCGUUUUAGAUUCUCAGGCAGUUCUUUAUAGCAGUGUGAAAACGGACUAAUACACAGUGCUUUGUGCUUGGAAAACGGCAUGAAGGAGAUGGAGGUAAUGUGCGAUGACUGAGAGAAUUUGUAGAACAGCAAAAACCACUGAAAUGCCAUUCUUCAAUAGAGGCACCAGAUCUCCAGGUGUGCCUAAAGAAUCUUGGGGAUGUGUCUUCUGAAGCUAAAGAGACCCCUAAGCAUCCUGCAAAAUACCAGUGCACAACAAUUUGGGACAUAGCUUAAGCUUUCUGCUCGAUGCUGGCGACAAAGAGGAGAAAGACAACUUCUACUCUCAGACAACUUAGUCUGCUUUAGGAGUUACAAACACAGACAAUUUCAACACUGGAUGAAAAUGAUGGGACAAAGGUAAAAGGAGAGAGGAAUGCAUCUCAGCUGAGUUUCAGAAAAAAAAAAAGUUUUGAAGAGAUCUCAAUGUUAGGUAAGCUGUGCAAGUUAAUCAAUAUAACGUGCAGGCAAAACAGAAAGCCUUUAUUUAAUAGACAUAGUUAUUAGUUAAUAACAAUAACAAUGAAUCCUUCUAAUGAUUGUAGAGGCAAAUACUGUUAUUAUCCUAAUUUUACAAGUGAGAAAACGUAAGUUACAUAUAACAUUUAAGUGAGGCCGGGUGUGGUGUCUCAUGCCUGUAAUCCUAACACUUUGGGAGGCCGAAGUGGGUGGAUCACUUGAGGCCAGGGGUUUAAGACCAGCCUGGCUAACAUAGUGAAACCCCGCCUCUACUAAAAAUACAAAAAUUAGUUGGGCAUGGUGGUGCACACCUGUAGUCCCAGCUACUCGGGAGGCUGAGAUGGGAGAAUCUCUGGAACCUGCCCAACCAGGGCCACAGAACAAGAGUCUAUCAUCUCAGAAAAAAAAAAAAAAAAAAAAAAAGUUAAGUGAAUUGCCCAAGGACAACAGCCAACAGCUGACACAGCUAAGAAUUAACUAUAUGCAGUAUUCACCCAGAGCCCCAGCUCUGAGCCCCUACAUGAAGCUUCCAAUAUGGAACUUACCCACUCAUGGAAAAGCAGCAAACAGUCAAGGAACAGCAAGUGUUUGGCAUUGCCUCAGGGCAAGCUACAUCUGAGAUAAUGUCAAGAGAUGAAUGAAGCUGAAAAAGUAAAGGGGAACAGUGUUAUACAGAAAAACUAGGAUUUUAUCUUAAAUGAGUCAUUAUAAUCCUAGGAGUGACAGGGUGUUAUUUCAAUAUUGGGAAGAAAAUUCUGACAGGAUCUUGGGAUGUGGAAUAUAAAAUGGCUAAAUUGACGGUCAAAAGACCUGCUGAAAGGUAUUUGUGGUAAUACAAGUGAACAAGAGAGGAAAUACGAUUGGAGGGGAGCUGAAACUUACAAGUAUUAUUCUACAAGUGAAUCUUUUAGGACUUGGUAAGCUGCUGGUGCUGGACAAAAGAAAGAAGGUAAUGUCUGGAGUGAUACCCAUGAGUUUCUGAUGACAGCAACAUUGUCGAUAGUAGCCAAUCUCUGAAAUAAGGAAGAAGAAAAAGAGACUCAGAAAUUAGAAAAUGCGGCCAGGCGCGGUGGCUCACGCCUGUAAUCCCAGCACUUUGGGAAGCCAAGGCGGACGGAUCACAAGGUCAAGAGAUCAAAACCAUCCUGGCCAACAUGGUGAAACCCCAUCUCUACUAAAAAUACAAAAAUUAGCCAGGCGUGGUGGUGGGCGCCUGUAGUCUCAGCUACUUGGGAGGCUGAGGCAGGAAAAUUGCUUGAACCUGGGAGGCGGAGGCUGCAG
rnacentral:lncRNA from 10 species